rnacentral:rRNA from 1 species
CCGGUUGAUCCUGCCGGAGGCUACCGCUAUUGGAGUUCGAUUAAGCCAUGCGAGUCGCGAGUCUUAGGGACUCGGCGUACCGCUCAGUAACACGUGGGUAACCUGCCCUAUGCUGGGGGAUAACCUCGGGAAACUGAGAAUAAUACCCCAUAGUUCACCACGCCUGGAACGGUGGGUGGAUCAAAGCUCCGGCGGCAUAGGAUGGGCCUGCGGCGUAUCAGGUUGUAGGGGGUGUAAUGUACCCUCUAGCCCUCUACGCGUACGGGUGUUGAGAGACAUCGCCCGGAGACGGAUUCUGAGACACGAAUCCAGACCCUACGGGGUGCAGCAGGCGCGAAAACUUGGCAAUGCGAGAAAUCGUGACCAGGGAACUCCAAGUGCAUCGGGUAAGACCGAUGCUUUUCUUGACUCUUCAAAGGUCUUGGAAUAAGGGGUGGGUAAGGACGGUGCCAGCCGCCGCGGUAAUACCGGCGCCCCAAGUGGUAGUCGCUUUUAUUGGGCCUAAAACGUCCGUAGCCUGUCUGGUACAUUCGUGGGUAAAUCAACCAGCUCAACUGGUUGAAUUCUGCGAGCACGGCCAGACUUGGGACCGGGAGAGGUGUGGGGUACUCUCAGGGUAGGGGUAAAAUCCUGUCAUCCUGAGAGGACCACCUGUUGCGAAGGCGCCACACUAGAACGGAUCCGACGGUCAGGGACGAAGCCUAGGGGCACGAACCGGAUUAGAUACCCGGGUAGUCCUAGGUGUAAACGCUGUGGACUUGAUGUUGGGAGCGCUCCGAGCGCCCUCAGUGUCGAAGCGAAGGUGAUAAGUCCACUGCCUGGGGAGUACGGUCGCAAGGCUGAAACUUAAAGGAAUUGGCGGGGGAGCACCGCAACCUGAGGAUUGUGCGGUUUAAUUGGAGUCAACGCCGGG